rnacentral:rRNA from 1 species
AUUGAACGCUGGCGGCAGGCCUAACACAUGCAAGUCGAGCGGAUGAAGGGAGCUUGCUCCUGGAUUCAGCGGCGGACGGGUGAGUAAUGCCUAGGAAGCUGCCUGGUAGUGGGGGAUAACGUCCGGACACGGGCGCUAAUACCGCAUACGUCCUGAGGGAGAAAGUGUGGGAUCUUCGGACCUCACGCUAUCAGAUGACCCUGGGGCGGAUUAGCGAGUUGGUGGGGUAAAGGCCUACCAAGGCGACGAUCCGUAACUGGUCGGCGAGGAUGAUCAGUCACACUGGAACUGCGGCACGGCCCAGCAUCCUACGGGAGGCAGCAGUGGGGAAUAUUGGACCAUGGGCGGAAGCCUGAUCCAGCCGUGCCGCGUGUGUGAAGAAGGUCUUCGUAGUGUAAAGAACCUUAAGUGGGGAGGAAGGGCAGUAAGUUAAUACCUUGCUGUUUUGACGGUACCUACAGAAUAAGCACCGGCUAACUACGUG